rnacentral:lncRNA from 1 species
UCAAAUGGCAUUCUAGAAGGUAAGCACUGCAAGCUUUGUUUUUGUGUAGAUUAUGUGAAAAAUGUGGUGGUAGGUAUUGUUGGUGUACCAGAGAUUGUUUUGAGUGACACCAACAAAGGGACUAGGAGUAUGCAGUUUGUAGUAGUGGGAUGAACGUUUAGGUGGCAUUGGUGCUUUAUAAACAUGACUGUGAGUGAAAGGGGUGUCGUAUAGUUUUAGCAAGGAUU